UACGGAGGGUGCAAGCGUUGUCCGGAUUUAUUGGGUUUAAAGGGUGCGUAGGCGGCCUCUUAAGUCAGUGGUGAAAGCCCGCGGCUCAACCGCGGAACUGCCAUUGAUACUGGGAGGCUUGAGUACAGACGAGGUGGGCGGAAUUGAAGAUGUAGCGGUGAAAUGCUUAGAUAUCUUCAAGAACACCGAUUGCGUAGGCAGCUCACUAGGCUGUAACUGACGCUGAGGCACGAAAGCGUGGGGAUCAAACAGG
rnacentral:rRNA from 1 species